CUAUCUCGUGGUCAAUGCUGAUGAAAGUGAACCUGGAACUUGCAAAGACAGGGAAAUUAUGCGCCAUGAUCCACACAAGCUGUUAGAGGGCUGCUUAAUUGCUGGGGUGGGAAUGAGAGCCUCUGCUGCUUAUAUCUACAUUAGGGGUGAAUAUGUGAAUGAACGUAAAAACCUGGAAAGAGCACGAAAGGAAGCUUAUGAAGCUGGGUUUUUGGGCAAGAAUGCAUGUGGAUCAGGCUAUGAUUUUGAUGUUCAUAUCCACUAUGGUGCUGGUGCUUAUAUUUGUGGUGAAGAGACUGCUCUUUUAGAAAGCCUAGAAGGAAAACAAGGGAAACCAAGGCUGAAGCCUCCCUUCCCAGCCAAUGCAGGGUUAUAUGGCUGCCCCACAACUGUUACAAAUGUGGAAACAGUGGCGGUGUCUCCCACCAUUUUGAGGCGUGGACCAGAAUGGUUUGCUAGUUUUGGUAGGAAGAACAAUUCUGGGACAAAAUUGUUUUGUGUGUCAGGUCAUGUGAAUAAGCCUUGCACAGUUGAAGAGGAGAUGAGUAUUCCUCUAAAAGAGUUAAUAGAUAGGCACUGUGGAGGUGUUCGAGGUGGAUGGGAUAAUCUACUUGCAAUAAUACCAGGGGGUUCUUCUGUCCCAUUGAUUCCCAAGCACAUAUGUGAUGAUGUGCUAAUGGAUUAUGAUGCACUUAAGGCUGUCCAGUCAGGGCUGGGGACUGCAGCCGUGAUUGUGAUGGAUAAAUCUACUGAUGUUGUGGAUGCAAUUGCAAGGUUGUCAUACUUCUACAAGCAUGAAAGCUGUGGGCAGUGCACUCCUUGCAGGGAGGGGACAGGGUGGCUUUGGAUGAUCAUGGAAAGGUUGAAGGUUGGGAAUGCAAAGUUGGAAGAGAUAGAUAUGCUUCAAGAGGUGACAAAACAAAUUGAAGGUCACACUAUCUGUGCAUUGGGUGAUGCUGCAGCUUGGCCUGUGCAGGGCCUCAUCAGGCAUUUUAGACCAGAGCUUGAAAGAAGGAUUAAGGAGCGUGCAGAGAGGGAGUUGCUGGAGGCUGCUGCAUAAGGUUUUCUAUACGGGAAAUGAUGCCAAUGAUGGACCUUGUGGAAUAAAUGAACUACCGUUUAGUUUGGUGGUUAGUUGACUCUGGCCUCAAGCAGUCGUAUUAGAUCUCUUUUU
rnacentral:misc_RNA from 1 species